rnacentral:rRNA from 1 species
UACGUAGGGGGCGAGCGUUAUCCGGAUUCACUGGGUGUAAAGGGAGCGUAGACGGCCAAGCAAGCCAGGGGUGAAAGCCCGGGGCCCAACCCCGUCGUGCCGUUGAAACUGAUGUUCUUGAGUGGGCGAGAAGUAUGCGGAAUGCGUGGUGUAGCGGUGAAAUGCAUAGAUAUCACGCAGAACUCCGAUUGCGAAGGCAGCAUACCGGCGCCCAACUGACGCUGAAGCACGAAAGCGUGGGUAUCGAACAGG